GACGGAAGGUGCAAGCGUUGCUCGGAAUCACUGGGCGUAAAGGGUGCGUAGGCGGCCGUGCAAGUCUGGCGUGAAAGCCCCGGGCUCAGCCCGGGAAGUGCGCUCGAAACUGCGCGGCUCGAGUGCCGGAGGGGAGAGUGGAAUUCCUGGUGUAGCGGUGAAAUGCGUAGAUAUCAGGAGGAAUACCGGUGGCGAAAGCGGAUCUCUGGGCCUUACCUGACGCUCAGGUGCGAAAGCUAGGGGAGCGAACAGG
rnacentral:rRNA from 1 species